rnacentral:lncRNA from 1 species
UUUUGUCAUAACUUUGGGUUGUAUAUACUGUUGAUUUACAGAAACUCAUAUUGUUCUGUUUUAACUGUUUUUGUAUUUGUAAGUUUGUACAUUUUAAUAUGCUGUACUUUGUGUCCUAUAGACCAUUUUGUAUUUGGAUUUUGUAUUACUCCUUCUCUUUUAUACCAUCUUUCUUCUAUUUCUCUUCCUAAGACUCCUGGUAAUUUAUUGAAUAAUUUUUUACCUAAUUCUUGAUC